CCUAUGGGGCGCAGCAGGCGAGAAAACUUUACAAUGUGCGAAAGCGCGACAAGGUUAAUCCGAGUGUUUGCUGCGUAAAGGUACCUUUUGCAUGUCAUAAAAUNAAUAGUGAAUAAGGGGUGGGCAAGUA
rnacentral:rRNA from 1 species